rnacentral:rRNA from 1 species
CCUACGGGUGGCAGCAGUGAGGAAUCUUGGUCAAUGGACGAGAGUCUGAACCAGCCAAGUAGCGUGAAGGAUGACUGCCCUCUGGGUUGUAAACUUCUUUUAUAUGGGAAUAAAAUGUUCCACGUGUGGGAUUUUGUAUGUACCAUAUGAAUACGGAUCGGCUAACUCCGUGCCAGCAGCCGCGGUAAUACGGAGGAUCCGAGCGUUGUCCGGAUUGAUUGGGUUAAAGGGGAGCGUGGUGGGAUUUUAAAGUCAGUUGUGAAAGUUUGCGGCUAAACGGUAAAAUUGAAGGUGAAACGGCAGUCUUGAGUACAGUAGAGGUGGGCGGAAUUCGUGGUGUAGCGGUGAAAUGCUUAGAUAUCACGAAGAACUCCGAUUGCGAAGGCAGCUCACUGGACUGCAACUGACACUGAGGCUCGAAAGUGUGGGUAUCAAACAGGAUUAGAUACCCCAGUAGUC